CAGCCGCCGCGGUAAUACCGGCGGCCCGAGUGGCGGUCACUAUUAUUGGGCUUAAAGCGUCCGUAGCCGGGUUGGGAAGUCCUCCGGGAAAUCUGGCCGCUUAACGGUCAGAAUGCCGGAGGAUACUCCCAGCCUAGGGAGCGGGAGAGGCCGAGGGUAUUCCCGGGGUAGGGGGGAAAUCCUAUAAUCCCGGGAGGACCACCGGUGGCGAAGGCGCUCGGCUGGAACGCGUCCGACGGUGAGGGACGAAGGCCAGGGGAGCAAACCGGAUUAGAUACCCGGGUAGUCCUGGCUGUAAACGAUGCGGACUUUGUGUCGGACAAGCUAUGAGCUUGUCCGGUGCCGGAGGGAAACCGUUAAGUCCGCCGCCUGGGGAGUACGGCCGCAAGGCUGAAACUUAAAGGAAUUGGCGGG
rnacentral:rRNA from 1 species